rnacentral:rRNA from 1 species
UCGGAAGCUAAGCGGGAUUGGACGUGGUUAGUACUUGGAUAGGAGACCGCCUGGGAAUACCAGGUGCUGUAAGCUU